UGCAGUCGAGCGAACGGACGAGAGUGCUUGCACUCUCUGAUGUUAGCGGCGGACGGGUGAGUAACACGUGGGUAACCUACCUAUAAGACUGGGAUAACUUCGGGAAACCGGAGCUAAUACCGGAUAAUAUUUAGCUUCGCAUGAAGCAAUAGUGAAAGACGGUUCUGCUGUCACUUAUAGAUGGACCCGCGGUGUAUUAGCUAGUUGGUGAGGUAACGGCUCACCAAGGCAACGAUACAUAGCCGACCUGAGAGGGUGAUCGGCCACACUGGGACUGAGACACGGCCCAGACUCCUACGGGAGGCAGCAGUAGGGAAUCUUCCGCAAUGGACGAAAGUCUGACGGAGCAACGCCGCGUGAGUGAAGAAGGUUUUCGGAUCGUAAAACUCUGUUGUAAGGGAAGAACAAGUACGUUAGUAACUGAACGUACCUUGACGGUACCUUACCAGAAAGCCACGGCUAACUACGUGCCAGCAGCCGCGGUAAUACGUAGGUGGCAAGCGUUAUCCGGAAUUAUUGGGCGUAAAGCGCGCGUAGGCGGUCUCUUAAGUCUGAUGUGAAAGCCCCCGGCUCAACCGGGGAGGGUCAUUGGAAACUGGGAGACUUGAGUGCAGAAGAGGAGAGUGCAAUUCCAUGUGUAGCGGUGAAAUGCGCAGAGAUAUGGAGGAACACCAGUGCUGAACGGCGGCUCUCUGGUCUGUAACUGACGC
rnacentral:rRNA from 1 species